CAGGGGGUAGUUUAAAAAAGAUCUUAGCUUUGGGAGUUAAGGAUAGGAGUUGAAGUCUCCUUCCUCUGA
rnacentral:tRNA from 1 species